rnacentral:rRNA from 1 species
UACGUAGGGUGCGAGCGUUAAUCGGAAUUACUGGGCGUAAAGCGUGCGCAGGCGGUUUGUUAAGACAGAUGUGAAAUCCCCGGGCUUAACCUGGGAACUGCAUUUGUGACUGGCAAGCUAGAGUAUGGCAGAGGGGGGUAGAAUCCACGUGUAGCAGUGAAAUGCGUAGAGAUGUGGAGGAAUACCGAUGGCGAAGGCAGCCCCC